CCGAAGACGCAGCUUCUGCACACCCCAGAAGACGUCUUCAGACCGGGAAACGCUGCUGUUUUUUGUUUUCUAAGGGUCGACGGAUCGUUGUUGCUGUUCCAAAAACUUCUGUACUCCUUCUAACCCCUUCCCUCACCCCCCACGGGAUGAACUGCCACAAAAUGGCGGCGGCCGCGUGGCGGGGGUCUUUGUCUCAUCACAAGAUGGACAAAGAAGCGUGGCGGGAACUCCUUCUUCCCAGAUUAGCAGGAUGUCAAUUUCUACGUUCCUGCUCCUCAUUUGGCUCCAGAAAAUGACCUUCUACCUGUCCACAGGGGACACAUGGAUCGUCCCUCAACCACAAAAAAAUGUGUGGGUCACCCUUGCCCAAGCCUUGAAACAAGAACACCUGUGUUUAGCCACUGCCUCAGCAGAAAAUCCAAUGUCCACAUGCCUGGUAGGGAUUCCAAGCAAGGGGCAAGAAUUUCCAAAGUCUUUGAUCCAUUUACAAACUGAGUUGAAUGAAAACAAUCCCCCGAAUAUCUGGGCAGAGUUCUACAAGCACAAGGAUAUUGUAGAACGUGUUAAAAUACCUGUUCAGAAUCCCCUGCUCCUGUGGCAAAAGUUUGUUCUAGACUUGCCCGCUGCUGAUGGGGAGCCCCAGGAAUUAGAACUACUGGGCUUCACAAAAGCUGAAUUUUGCGUUCAAUUUAAUUUUUCACCAGAUAAAGAAAUAAAACUAUAUGCACAGGUCAGACAAUACAAGAUGGAAUUCAGAGCAAGCCAAUUGGUGCACAGCUGUUGCUAUUUUAGAGGUCCCUAGCACCACGGAUUUCUAUCCCCGCAAGCUGGAAAAGGGAAUGUUUUUCAUCUGUGGGGAUAGAGCAUAUCCAGGAAUCCCUUCUCGUCUGGUUGGAGGUCCAUGCACUCUGGGGCAUCUUUCCCUUGCUUCCCCCAACAUGACUCAAAUUCCAACUGGGCAAACAAAAGGUGAAACAAAAAUUACUAAACGGAGUGCAAGUCAAUUUGAUGAACAUUGUGAUGCUGAAAUUUACCACUGGGCAAAAUCAAAAAGGGUUGCCAUCUCUGUGUUCCUACCAUGGGUAGCGGCAGCCAAAGCGUUGAGUGAAUUAGGCAAUUUGGAAUGCUGGGUGAUGAAGCAGGCAAGUUUAACAUCAGCAGCCUUGAGUGACCUGCUUGCAGACGAGGAAAUUACCAGGAAAGCCACCCUGCAAAACAGGGCAGCUAUCGAUUUCCUGCUGUUGGCACAUGGGCAUGGAUGCAAAGAAUUUGAGGGAUUGUGUUGCUUUAACUUGUCAUCAAAGGGCCAAAGUGUUCAAUCGUCCAUCCAGGAGAUGAGAAACCUCAUUGGCAGUGUGAAGCAGGAGAAUGAGGACUGGUUCAAGGGCAUGUUUAAGGGCUGGGAUCUUUCUGGGUGGGUGUUGUCCCUUCUAAAGGACAUUUGUUAUUUUGUAGUUGCAAUUCUUUUAGUUUUGCUAUCAUUUGGGAUUCUCAAGCGAAUAAUUUUUAGCAUUGCUUCCUCCAAGUUUGCAGCCUCCGCACCUGUUGUAGUUGCUGCUGCCACCACGGGAGGAGAAUGGUGGGAAGAUGGAAAACAAAACAACACUGCAGUUUGAUAGCCGCAGUUUCUCCUUCCCCCAAAGCUCCGUUCAUUUUAUUAAACAAAAAAGAGGGAGAUGUUGCAGUGUGCAGCUACGCAAACGGAGCAAAAAGGCUUUGUGAAUUUGAGAUGGGAGUUUCUGUUUCCUAAACCUAAAGCUGGAGUUUCUAUUCUGUAUUUUUACAUGUAUUCAUCCUUCCCCCUGGAGUUAUUCCCAUUGGAUUUUACCUAUAAUGUAUUCACACUGGGCAUUGUUCUAUUGGUUUCACCUUAUCUCUUAUUUUCCCCUAUAAAACCUUUGUCUGGACCCGAGAUUGGGGUCACUUGUACGUGCGGCGAUUGGGCAAAUACAACCUACUUUGGACUGCACAACAAGUGUCCAAUCUCUUGAGUCUCUUUAUCCCGGUCUUGCUCGCGCUCUCUAAACAGC